UACGGAGGGGGCUAGCGUUGUUCGGAAUUACUGGGCGUAAAGCGCGCGUAGGCGGCUUUGUAAGUUAGAGGUGAAAGCCCGGAGCUCAACUCCGGAACUGCCUUUAAGACUGCAUCGCUAGAACGAUGGAGAGGUAAGUGGAAUUCCGAGUGUAGAGGUGAAAUUCGUAGAUAUCAAGCAGAACACCUGCGGCGAAGGCAGGUCUCUGGGCAUUAACUGACGCUGAGGCGCGAAAGCGUGGGGGAGCAAACGGG
rnacentral:rRNA from 1 species